GAUGAACGCUGGCGGCGUGCCUAACACAUGCAAGUCGAACGAGGCGCUUAAGUGAAUCCCUUCGGGGUGAAGCUUUAGUGACUGAGUGGCGGACGGGUGAGUAACGCGUGGGCAACCUGCCCUAUACCGGGGAACAACAGCUGGAAACGGCUGCUAAUACCGCAUAAGCGCACAGAGUCGCAUGGCUCGGUGUGAAAAACUCCGGUGGUAUAGGAUGGACCCGCGUCCGAUUAGCUAGUUGGUAGUGUAAUGGACUACCAAGGCGACGAUCGGUAGCCGGCCGGAGAGGGCGGACGGCCACAUGGGGACUGAGACACGGCCCAGACUCCGGCGGGAGGCAGAAGUGGGGGAUAUUGCACAAUGGGGGAAACCCUGAUGCGGCGACGCCGCGUGGGUGAAGAAGUAUUUCGGUAGGUAAAGCUCUAUCAGCGGGAAGAAAAUGACGGUACCUGACUAAGAAGCCCCGGCUAACUACGUGCCAGCCGCCGCAGUAAUAC
rnacentral:rRNA from 1 species